rnacentral:rRNA from 1 species
AUGCACCGGCAGACCGGGCACGUCGCGUGCUCGUGCAGCCACGGGUCGAUGCACUGCUGGUGGAACAUGUGCAGGCACGCCGGCAGCGCUUCACCGUCUCCCCCUUCUCCACCUCCCCGAGGCAGACCGCGCACUCCGACGCGCCGCCGCCGCCGCCCUCCGGCUGCUCGUAUCCAGGAUGUCAUACGCCGUCGCCGCCCGCGCGCCGCCAUGCACCGGUGGCUCCCGGGCCAGCACGGGCAUGUGACUCUGCUGUAUUUGCUCCAGAAACUGGGGCAGAGCGCUGCCGCCGCUUUGGCGCCGUAG